rnacentral:lncRNA from 1 species
UGCGCUGCGGGUCCCCGCUGCUCCAAGCGAGCCGCGCUCGCACCUGCCCCGCGGCAGGCGGGCGGCCCGGGGCGCCUUGCUUUCAGCUCGGGCGCCCGUGAGAGCCCCGGGGAGCAAGCGAGGAGCCGGGCCGCGAGCAGCCGUCGCCGGAGGAGGCAGGGAGCCCCGAGCGAGGCGGCCCCGCGGAGCCAGGCUCUCUCCGGUAACUCUUCUGGCUGCAUCCAGCAGCUCCGUGCCUCCCCGCCCGGCUGCCCGAACGGCGUCCCAGCCCGUCGCUGGCUCGUGAGAUGAUCCAUCUUCCCAGGCUCGCGCAGGUCACUUGAAUUCUGAACUGAGCGAACAUGAGUGCCCUUGAUUUGGCUUCAGUCCUUGAUUUUCUGGAAAUGGCCAACUUCACAGAGAUCAACUGGACAUGCCACAAUGCCCAGUCUGGACUUCUCAACACUGCUAUGCAAAUGGAAGAGACUUUCUAGCAAACGAAGCCAUUGUGUACCAUAGAUAGCACGCAUUUUCAAGAUAAGCUUUUUCUUCCAUGUGUAGAUUCCCUCUUGGUCUCAUUGUAUAUGUUAUAUAUAUAGUGUGUUGUAUUUAAAAGCUCAAGACUUUAUUUUCUGGCUAUUGGUGUACCUUAUACGAUUGUAUUUGAAAGUUAAAUAUAUUUUUAUCAUGUAUUUGAAGUAUAUUGCUGAUGAGUGUAUCCAGAGUGCUGUAGUCUGAGUGUUAGAUUGCUAUUUGGUUUUAACUGUCCUAGGUAAGAGGAUGGCAAUAAAUAGCAGUAUGGAAAUGAUCUCUUAUGUGCAUCCUCAUUGGCUGGCACACUUUAUUGACCAUAGCUCUAUAUGGUGGUUGUACCCAUGUCUGGAGCAGAAAAUGUAUGUACUGUAGAAUAGUUACCGUCAUGUUAAAAUUAACAGUAUUGUAAGAGUUGUUAACUCCUACAUCGUGCUUCACAAAGUUGUAUCCUUAUGCGCAGAAUGAAUGAUAUUACUUCUGAAAGUCGUCUCUAUUUAAAAAAAGUCAAAAAGAAGAAAACACCGGGCCACAUUCUGUCCUUCCUUUGGUGCAGCAGCGAACAGCGUGGGGCAAGAUUCAGCUGGUGCCGGAUGUUUGAAGCAGAUCUUCUUUAAGCCAGUGAAGCGCUUGUAUCACGGUCGUCUUCGUCCCAGGACAAGCGGGUUCGCCUUGUGCUGUAAGUGUGUGGCAUGGUGUCCCAGCUGGCGUUUGCACUGAGACCGAAAAGAAGGUUUGGGGCACCUUGGAGCUUGGUGUGAAGGAGAAUUUAUCAGCAGAUAACAG